UUACAGGCGUGAGCCACCACGCCUGGCCUGGGAAAAUGAAGAUACCAAAGUUCAGAGAUGAUUAGGAAUUUUCCAAGAUCUCACAGCUCAGAAGUGACGGAGCCAGACUUUAAACCCAGGCAAACUGCUUCCGGGUCCCUGCUCUUCCUGCUCCGGCUGUAGCGUGAGACAUGAUGUUUGGAGCUGCAGCAGUCAUCUUGCAACCAUGAGGCAACAAGCUAAGGACAAAAAGCCCACAUAGCCAAGGAUGGUAAAGAUGGAAGAGGGAAAGUGCUUGGGUCUUUGUCAACAUCCCUGCGCAUCUGACUAAGCUGCAACCACUUCUCUCCAGACGUGUGGCGAUGCCAGAGCAUUCUACUUUCUCAUCGCUUGAGCACUGUUGUUAGGUUGUCUGUUACAUGUUGCCCAACGCGUCCUAACUGAGGGAAGUGCCUGCUAUGUGCCAAGCACACAUCUGCCUCAUAGGAUCAUAGCCAUUUGUCCAUACUUCAUCUUCCCUUUUAGACUCUGGAAUCCUAAAGGUGGAGAUUAUGUCUGGGUCACAUCCCAGUCAUCACAUGGGGAUGGGACAGUGUCCCAUAGUGAAACCCAAUCACCAUGACUUUGACAAUAUGAAGGAAGGAAGGAAGGA
rnacentral:lncRNA from 1 species